UACGUAGGGGGCUAGCGUUGUCCGGAUUUAUUGGGCGUAAAGAGCGUGUAGGUGGCGCCGUAAGUCGGGUGUGAAAUUUCGGAGCUUAACUCCGAAACUGCAUUCGAUACUGCGGUGCUUGAGGACUGGAGAGGAGACUGGAAUUCAUGGUGUAGCAGUGAAAUGCGUAGAGAUCAUGAGGAAGACCAGUGGCGAAGGCGGGUCUCUGGACAGUUCCUGACACUGAGACACGAAGGCCAGGGGAGCAAACGGG
rnacentral:rRNA from 1 species